rnacentral:rRNA from 1 species
UACGUAGACCUCGGGCGUUAUCCGGAUUUAUUGGGCGUAAAGCGCGUGUAGGAGGUGUUGUGCGUCUUUGGUUAAAUAUCACCGCCUAACGGUGAGAGUGCCAAGGAUACGACAAUACUAGAGGGGGUUAGAGGUGCAUGGAACGCACGGUGUAGGGGUGAAAUCCGUUGAUAUCGUGCGGAACACCAAAGGCGAAGGCAGUGCACUGGGACCUUCCUGACUCUGAGACGCGAAAGCGUGGGGAGCAAAAAGG